rnacentral:rRNA from 1 species
GGAAUCUUCCACAAUGGGCGCAAGCCUGAUGGAGCAACACCGCGUGAGUGAAGAAGGGUUUCGGCUCGUAAAGCUCUGUUGUUAGAGAAGAACGUGCGUGAGAGCAACUGUUCACGCAGUGACGGUAUCUAACCAGAAAGUCACGGCUAACUACGUGCCAGCAGCCGCGGUAAUACGUAGGUGGCAAGCGUUAUCCGGAUUUAUUGGGCGUAAAGCGAGCGCAGGCGGUUUGAUAAGUCUGAUGUGAAAGCCUUUGGCUUAACCAAAGAAGUGCAUCGGAAACUGUCAGACUUGAGUGCAGAAGAGGACAGUGGAACUCCAUGUGUAGCGGUGGGAUGCGUAGAUAUUAGGAAGAACACCGGUGGCGAAGGCGACUUACUGGACUGUAACUGACACUGAAGUACGAAAGCGUGGGGAGCAAACA